AAUGCAUGUCUCAGAGUACAUGGGCUUCCCAGUGGGUCUGUGAAUGGCUCCUUACAUCAGCAGUCAUCUCAGUGGUAGAGUGUUGCACCAUCCAUGGUGGACCCUUGGACAUCCACCGAAACCCAGUGGCUAAUACAUGAUCAAGCAAGCCUGCUGCAGCAUGGUAGCUGCCCAGUGGCUCAUCCAUAGGCUCCUGCCAAGUGGAGGGCUGCAACCAGCUGUCUAGGAAGACUAGCACCUGGUUCAAGGGUAGUGUACUGUGCUGACUCAGGCUGGAUCCCUGGUGGUUCCCUUGCACUAGCAGAGUGGUGGCUUCGGCCACAGCAUUGCUUGACCACACGAGCUUCUGACCUAUCAGCUUGGACUGUGGUGCAGUGGACCACAGUGGCAGUAACGGGUAACGGAGAAUCAGGGUUCGAUUCCGGAGAGGGAGCCUGAGAGAUGGCUACCACUACCAAGGUGGGCAGCAGGCACGUAAAUUGCCCAAUGCCAAGGCACUGGUGAGGCAGCGACGAACUGCAGCAAUCCUGCUAGUCCUCAGUGACCAGUGGGACUUGUAAUGGAUGCAAUCCAAACACAGUGAUGAGUAUCAACUGGAGGGCAAGUCUGGUGCCAGCAGCUGCGGUAAUUCCAGCUCCAAGAGUGUAUACUGACAUUGCUGCUGUUGAAACACUUGUAGUCCAUUGCUGGGUUCAGGUCUGCCAAGUGGCUGGUGGCUGGCUGCAGGGCAACCUGUCAGUUGGCUGCUGGAACUCAACCCUUGGCAGUAGCUCCUGCUCCCGAGUCAUGGUGGUGAGAACAGCCCUUGCUCCAAGCCUCCUUCAGUGGAGGUCGAUGCGAUCCCAUGCCUCACACACGUGCUGACACCAGGGACACUGGCCCUGUGCCAGGCUCCCCUGUCGAUCACCAGGGUCCACCACCUGUGAUACUGUGGAGAACUCAGUGUGCUCCAAGCAGCCUGUUGGCUGAAUGAUCGUCCAUGGAAUGUCAAGGCAUCGACCUGGAGUGGCUAUGGAGUUGUGCUAGCCUUGGUGCCCAACCAGGGCAAUGUGGUCCUUGUGCUCUGGCUGUGAGGCUUCACCUUCGGGUGCUUGCCAAACUGACCAGGGUUGCUUGUACCGACCGUCCCAGAGGGGACUGCUCGAGGUGAAGGGUACUGCAGCGCCAGAGGUGAAAUUCUUAGACCGCUGCCAGACCAACAGCAGCGAAGGCGCUUUGCAAGGGCAUGUCCGUCGAUCAAGAAUGAGAGUGUGGGGAGCGAAGAUGAUCAGACACCGUCGUAGUCCACCACUGUAAACCAUGCCAGCUAGCUGCUGAGGGUGCAAGUACUGAGACACUCCCAACAGCAUGCCCCCUGCAACGAGAAAUCCCAAGCCUGUGGGUUCAGGGGGGAGUACUGUCGCAAGGCUGAAACUUAAAGGAAUUGACGGAAUGGCACCACCAGGCGUGGAGUAUGCGGCUUAAUUUGACUCAACACGGGGCACCUUACCAGGUCAGGACAAGGUCUGGAUGGACAGAUUGAGAGCUCUCUCUUGAUCCCUUGGAUGGUGGUGCAUGGCCGCUCCUGAUUGGUGAGGUGACUUGUCUGGUUGAUUCCGAUAACGAGUGAGACAUCUGCCUCCCACUAGCUCCUGCCUCGCAUUCAGUAAGGUUCAGGCCUGCCUCAACCAGUACUCCUCGGAGUGCUGGGGCAGCAGUGCCACCUGAGAGGCAUGGACCAAGCUUCUCUGAGGUGCUGUGUACACUACCAAGUACAUGCAUGCUAGAGCCAACAGCAGGUCUGUGAUGCUCCCAGAUGUCCUGGGCCGCACGCGCACUACAUUGGUCCAGUGAAUGAGUUGCUUACCCACUUGCUGGGUCCUGGCUGGAAGUGGCUGGGAAACCCCUGGAGCCUGGGCCGUACUGGGGAUAGAUACCUUGCAACUGUCUGCCUUGAACGAGGAAUGCCUAGUAUGCCUGGGUCAUCAGCCCAGACAGAUUGAGUCCCUGCCAUUUGUACACACCGCCCGUCGUUGCUACCGAUGGCAGCAGGAUAGAGCCAUUAGGAGGCCUUAGCCACCCUCGAGUGGGCAAGGCCGAAACUGGGCAAUGUCCUGCUGCUAGAGGAAGCAAAA
rnacentral:rRNA from 1 species